rnacentral:rRNA from 1 species
AACGAACGCUGGCGGCAGGCCUAACACAUGCAAGUCGAGCGGACCCUUCGGGGUUAGCGGCGGACGGGUGAGUAACGCGUGGGAAUAUGCCCUUCUCUACGGAAUAGUCCUGGGAAACUGGGUCUAAUACCGGAUAGGAGCGUCCACCGCAUGGUGGGUGUUGGAAAGAUUUAUCGGUUUUGGAUGGACUCGCGGCCUAUCAGCUUGUUGGUGAGGUAAUGGCUCACCAAGGCGACGACGGGUAGCCGGCCUGAGAGGGUGACCGGCCACACUGGGACUGAGACACGGCCCAGACUCCUACGGGAGGCAGCAGUGGGGAAUAUUGCACAAUGGGCGCAAGCCUGAUGCAGCGACGCCGCGUGAGGGAUGACGGCCUUCGGGUUGUAAACCUCUUUCAGUAGGGAAGAAGCGAAAGUGACGGUACCUGCAGAAGAAGCACCGGCUAACUACGUG